UCAAUGCUGUGAUGCAACACUAUUGUUUUAUGCUGAUAAAAGCUGUUCCCCACUCUGACUGUUUCAUCACAGCUGGGCUUCUCAGCCCUAUGAGGACUGCCAGCUUUGCAGCUUGGGCUCCCCCAGAUCAGCUGGAGGUAGAACCAUGUUUUCCUGUAUAAGUCUGAGAAGCCAGUUUAUUUACUACAUUUUGCGGAACACUGUCUGACCACAAGAAAGGAUACUCUCAGAGAAACUUGGAUUUCAGCCCAAUGUCUCUGGGAGUAUGCAUAGGAGAAGAAGAAACUGAAUCUAAGGAAAAAUUGUAACUGUGCUAAACACCAAAACACUGUAACAAGAAUAUACUUGUGGUAUUAAUGACAACUACAGGUUACCUCUACACAGAAGAUGUACUGAAAAGAAAUAAAGAAGAUACCUACAGAUCUUUACAGGAAUCUCUUUGGAUAUAAAUGAAGAAGUCCUUCAGAGGACAGCAGGUGUCUGAAAACUUACUUGUGUGAGGAGUUAAGACAAACUUCAAAACACUGCAUGAUUUCUCACAAAAAUCCAAUCUAAACAAGAGAAAAUGCUUCUGGUGCACAGAAUUACCUACUGUUUUCUGAUCUGCAGGUAUUAGUGGGCUUUACAUACUUGCUGUACUUAGGAAGGUGUGGUAGGAAGGGGAGGGAAGGUAUGGAGUCUCUGUAUUUGGCUUCAAGCAGAGUAACUGAGUGCUAGCAAGCAGCCACUGAUUUUCAACAUCCCCCACAUCUGCGGUUUCAUUUUCCACUCGAGACUCUCUCAAUUUCUCUGGCGUUUCCAGCUGCUGCAUUAGUCUGUGCCAUUAUAAUGCCUGCAGGAUCUAAAAAAUAAUCUAUGACAAUGUUCUCGAGGCUGCUGUGUUUUGCUAACCCAAGAGGAAACACUGACAGCAGAGUACAGCAUUCUCAGGCUUGUUUCGCUCCACAGGGGAAGGCAACAAUUUUAAGGGUAGAAAUACUUCUAGAAACUUUGUAAGCACUCUUCAAAGAGGUGGAGUGACUGUGAUCAUUGUUCUGACUUCUACCUCUGAAAAGAGGACUUUGAUGCUGCGCUACUGCCUCUAUAUAUUUUAGGAAUGUGUAUUAUUGCCCUUAUUCCUCACGGCAGUGUGUGUAAUGCUGUUGAUCACUGACACCAGCAAUAUAAAAUGUGACAAACUUAUCUGCUGCCUUGAAAGAGCCAGCUGAAAUAAACUACAAAUCCAAAGGAUUUAUAAUAUUAAAUGUUGCAGAGUCAUACUAUGUUCUAGUGGGAAUAGCUUUAGAGUGGGAGUAGUUUUAAAUUAAACAAUCAGAAAUUAUAAUUUCUACCCUGCAUCCACCAUUAGAUAUAAACUAUGAACUGAAUUAAUUUAGCUAUACUUCUUUUCUAUAAGCUACUAUUUUUAUGGAUUAAAAUGUAGAUCACAUUCAUUCAGUGAAUUCACAUGGUAAAAAACCCACAGUUACACUGUGUGAUGUUUUAACACUGCACUCUACCCCAUUUUGCCCAAGGUUUUUUCUGACAUUUGUCAGUGCUCAGCCUAAACUCUACUAGUGCUUUAUAGUAAUUUUAGAACUCCACUAACUAUACUGAACAGCAGAUACCAAAAGAGACAGGAAGACAGAACAGGGCAUAAACAAACAUAGGGUUGGGAGAACAUAUUGGGAGAAGGUUUUGUUUCCUAAGCUGUUAGACAUUCGAGGGCUUCUUGAAGUAUAUGGUAACGUUACAGUUAAUGACCUCUGAUGUAUUUUUCUUCCAUGAAUUUAUAAAAUCAUAAACUUUUGAACCUAUGCAAACUUGCAGCACUCAAUGUUCUGUUGAAAACAUUUUUAGUUUCUGAAUGUUGUGCUACGUUUGCUUGCAUUUAAGCUGCCACCUCUUCAAUUCUCUACUUCCUGUAGAAUAAAAGACAAUGAUUUAUUGCUUUCCUCCACCUCACUCAUGAUUGUAUACACUUCAGUUGUAGCUACUUAGCCACUCCUAACAUGAAAGCUGUUUCCUCCUUUGACCAUUCUUGUUGACCCUCUGUAGUUUUAUUUUCCACUUUGAGGAGGGGAACAAGAAAUGAACAAUGUUUAAGUUACAGGCAUAACAGUAUUUGUUUUGUUCUAAAUUCUUUUCUUACUCAUUCCUUUAUUAUUUGCUUUUUGAGGUCUGCUGAUUGCUGUGAUGUUUUUGCUGAUGUUUUUGUUCCUUAUAUCCGGAGUCUUGCAUUCCUAACAUCUAAUUCAGAGCUCCUCUUUGUAUAUGUAAACAUUAGGAUCACCCUUCCCUCUUUUAAACAAGGCUAUUUACUGACAUUUAGCUUUAAAAAAAAAAAACCAAACCAACAAAAAACCUCCAAUAACUAUUGCUUACAUAUUAGGAGGACCUCUGCACCUUACGAAAAAGUUUCCAUUUUUACUACUCUCAAUAGCUUGGUGUCAUCAAAACACUAAUUUCUAUCAACCAUAAAUAGCUAAAGAGAACAGAUCCUUCCUGGCUGUCACUCACAACCUGCCCUCAUGGAAACCUGGUGUACAUUGACUGACAUGGAUGGGAAGGGGGCUCCAGAGGGCAUACACUCCAAGCUCCAGCUCAGAGUAGGUGAUGCUAUUGCUGGGUGCUCAGGGUCUUGUCCAGUUAGGUCAUUAAUACCUCCAACUGUGCAGGUUGAGUGGAGUUUUUUUUGCUUGGUUGGGUUUUUUCCUCCUCUAACAACCUCUCUAGGCCCCUAUUCCAGUCUAUGAUCUCCCUAAUGAUUUAAAAAAACAAACAACCUUCAAAAAACAUAACAAAAACCGUACAACAUCUUUUUGAUGUAUCUUGUUGGAAUUUUCCACAUCCCAACUUUUUACCAUUGCAUCUCAUUCUUCUAUCCUGUUUCUUCUCUUUUAUUCACAUGAGGGCAUCUUCCUACCUUAUGGCAGUGCAUAGAUACUUAUAUUGUUUUAGGGACCAUUGCAUAGAGAAUAGAAUUUGGCUUUCCUUUGCCAAAAUUUCCUUUAUGUCCUGAAUAAAGAAAUAAGCCUUUACACAUGCCCUUACCACUCUAAGUAAUGGUCAUUGCCUCUCUCUACCUGUUACAAGCAUCUUUUGAAUACAAGUUCUGUGCAGCCUGCAAACCAAACGACGCUGAAGGAUAGAGAGCAUACACAAGUCUGUAGAAGUAUGGCUGGAACCUUGUUUCAAGAGUUUCUGGAAACGUUCGUCCUCUAGCACACACAGGGGAAGGUCUGCCUCUCCUCUGCCUUUCAUUUCCUCAAGUUUUUGUUUAAGGUCCCGCAAGGCCUGAAGCUCAUCAUUCAGACGAUUCUGCCUUGUGCGUGACGCCUGGAGAUCCAGCUCCAAGUCAAGGGAAGUGCGUACGGGGCAUUCUUGCGUAGCUCUUCGCAUGAUCGGCUGGCAAACAGGCUGGAUCAUUUGGGAAACAGAAUAAAAAUUAACAUAUAGAAAGGCUAGAGGAGGGUUUGACAUAAUACAGUCAGAAAAGCUCCAAUUUUAUUUUUGUUUUUCUUUAGCAGUCUUUUUUUUUUAAAUUAAAAUUUCAUGUAUCCUGGAAUUUUUCUUCAGUCACUAGCUAAAAAUAAAUGCGAAAGUUUCUCCAACCAGGUGCACAAUUUAUAGAUUAAAACCAAGAAAAACAUUCUGAUCCCCAGGAUGACACUGCCAGGAGACCCAACACUACACAUAUUUCCCCAUAGAUUUCAAUUACAUUAUUUAUUUUUAUAAACAUUUGCUUUUUCAAGGCCUAACCAAACACACAAUGUUACAAACUCCAUAAACAUGCAUUUCUUCAGUGUAUUUCACAUUAUUUACUGUCCUUUCACAGUGACUUUUCAUAUGAGUAAGUCAGGCAGGAGAAGCCAUCCCAGACUAUUUAGUAUUUCUUUUCUAUGCAAAAUGCAAUCUUGCUACCUGGUAACAUGCCUUCCAUGGGACUAUUUUUCUAGUUACAAUUAAGAUUAAAAUAUAACUCUCUCAAUUUAUGUAAGAAUUAAUUUCAUGCAAGAGAAACAGAAUCUUACUCUCUUGUUCUUCAAUCCUUUUUCUACUUUAACACUUGGAAAAGAGUAAAUCCCUUUAAAAGGACAUCUAAAUCCUUGAAAUUUCCACCAAAAUUUGCUUCAGAUAUACUUUGCUAGCGUUGACUUUUGUGCGGCAUAAGCCUCCCUGUGUGACUUUGUAAUACUCAGGUUCUUUAACCCAGAUCCCUUUGGCAGUAACUCAAGUUCAACAACAAAUGCCAUGAUGCUGAGCAGCAGUGUCUGCCUGCUGGCUUCAGCCACAACUAAAACACCACACGUGUUGUUGGAGAGCGAAGAUGUAGGACUGGGACCACUGUGUUGAGAUUUCAAUAUGAAACUACAGUACUACACGUGGUACUUGCACUGGUUUUGCUGAAAAACUUUCAAUAAAGCAUAUCCUUUAAGUUGUUUGGUAUUCCUUCUCUCCCUGUACUUUGUCCUAAACCGUGUCCUGUUAAUAAGGCACAUACCCGUUUAACUCUUA